CCUACGGGAGGUAGCAGUGAGGAAUAUUGGUCAAUGGACGAGAGUCUGAACCAGCCAAGUAGCGUGAAGGAUGACUGCCCUAUGGGUUGUAAACUUCUUUUAUAAAGGGAUAAAACGCGGCACGUGUGCCUUUUUGCAUGUACUUUAUGAAUAAGGAUCGGCUAACUCCGUGCCAGCAGCCGCGGUAAUACGGAGGAUCCGAGCGUUAUCCGGAUUUAUUGGGUUUAAAGGGAGCGUAGAUGGGUUGUUAAGUCAGUUGUGAAAGUUUGCGGCUCAACCGUAAAAUUGCAAUUGAUACUGGAAGUCUUGAGUACAGUAGAGGUAGGCGGAAUUCGUGGUGUAGCGGUGAAAUGCUUAGAUAGCACGAAGAACCCCGAUUGCGAAGGCAGCUUACUAAACUGUGACUGACAUUGAUGCUCGAAAGUGUGGGUAUCAAACAGGAUUAGAUACCCGUGUAGUC
rnacentral:rRNA from 1 species